CAGUCGCCGCGGUAAUGCGAAGGGGGCUAGCGUUGCUCGGAAUUACUGGGCGUAAAGGGAGCGUAGGCGGGUCGUUUAGUCAGAGGUGAAAUCCCGGGGCUCAACCUCGGAACUGCCUUUGAUACUGGCGACCUUGAGUAUGGGAGAGGUAAGUGGAACUCCGAGUGUAGAGGUGAAAUUCGUAGAUAUUCGGAAGAACACCAGUGGCGAAGGCGACUUACUGGCCCAUUACUGACGCUGAGGCUCGAAAGCGUGGGGAGCAAACAGGAUUAGAUACCCGUGUAGUCCCUGUCUCUUAUAC
rnacentral:rRNA from 1 species